AUUGAACGCUGGCGGAAUGCCUAACACAUGCAAGUCGAGCGGGAUGUAGCAAUACAUCUAGCGGCGGACGGGUGAGGAAUACAUAGGAAUCUACCUCGUAGUGGGGGAUAGCCACGGGAAACCUUGAUUAAUACCGCAUACGAUCUCAGGAUGAAAGUGGGGGCCCGCAAGGCCUCACGUUAUGAGAUGAGCCUAUGUCGGAUUAGCUUGUUGGCGGGGUAAUGGCCCACCAAGGCGACGAUCCGUAGCUGGGCUGAGAGGACGAUCAGCCACACUGGAACUGAGACACGGUCCAGACUCCUACGGGAGGCAGCAGUGGGGAAUAUUGGACAAUGGGGGCAACCCUGAUCCAGCAAUUCCGCGUGGGUGAAGAAGGCCUUCGGGUUGUAAAGCCCUUUAGGCAGGGAAGAAAAGCCGUAUUUGAAUAAUUUACGGUCUUGACGGUACCUGCGGAAUAAGCACCGGCUAACUUCGUGCCAGCAGCCGCAGUAAUAC
rnacentral:rRNA from 1 species